GACGAACGCUGGCGGCGUGCUUAACACAUGCAAGUCGAACGGUAAGGCCCUUCGGGGUACACGAGUGGCGAACGGGUGAGUAACACGUGGGUGAUCUGCCCUGCACUUCGGGAUAAGCCUGGGAAACUGGGUCUAAUACCGGAUAGGACCCUGGGAUGCAUGUCCUGGGGUGGAAAGCUUUUGCGGUGUGGGAUGGGGCCGCGGCCUAUCAGCUUGUUGGUGGGGUGAUGGCCUACCAAGGCGACGACGGGUAGCCGGCCUGAGAGGGUGACCGGCCAAAGUGGGACUGAGAUACAGCCCAGACUCCUACGGGAGGCAGCAGUGGGGAAUAUUGCACAAUGGGCGCAAGCCUGAUGCAGCGACGCCGCGUGAGGGAUGACGGCCUUCGGGUUGUAAACCUCUUUCAGCACCGACGAAGCGCAAGUGACGGUAGGUGCAGAAGAAGGACCGGCCAACUACGUGCCAGCCGCCGCCGUAA
rnacentral:rRNA from 1 species